CAGUGUCUGGUAAGUAGUCCUGUCAUGAUACAUAGUUCUUUUUUGUUUAGUCUAAGCAACUCCAGACUUUUCUCGUUGGGUGAGAUAAAUUUCUUUGAUUGUCGUAGCCCAGGUGUGGUACUCCAAUUGUUCUUUAUAGCUGUGAUUUCCCACUUUUCAAUUCCAUUUUUAGGGCACUCGAUGAGAAUUCACAGAAUGGGCCGAUAAAAUUAGUGGAAGACCCUUGUUAGUUGCGCAACGUCGAUCACCGCGCCGUGCACACCCCUGCUUCGAGACGAUCGCGAACGCCAGCCCUACCCAACGGUUGACAGGAGGAUCGACUACCAUAAGGUCAUCCCUACCCAACCACUGACAAGAGGAUCGACUAUCAAAAGGUCACACCGGUGUGACGAAACUUCAUAUAUAAAAAAUUCAUUGCGCGAGGCGAAUCGUUAAAAUUUAAUAUUCUAACUUAAACCUAAAAAUUUAUUACUACAUUCCGCUGUACAACUAUCUCUACAUUUACUCGGACCUACGGUAAAGUUAAAAGGCUUUAGGAAAACGUAACCUAAAUUUAUUAAUUAAAACAUCAGGACAGGUUUCUACGAAUAAGCACUUUAUUUCGCUGAUUGAAUUGUUGCGUGAUAGCGAAGGGCUACUACAAAAUUUGUAAUUCUUCAAUAAAGUCUUCACAAACUCGGCA